GACGAACGCUGGCGGCGUGCUUAACACAUGCAAGUCGAACGGUGAACUCCGCUUGCGGGGGGAUCAGUGGCGAACGGGGGAGUAACACGAGCGCAACCUGCCCCCAGCUCUGGGAUAACUCCAAGUAAUUGGGGCCAAUACCGGUUAUGACCGCUGUCCUCAUCGUCUGGGUGCGGAAAGAUUUAUCGGCUGGGGUUGGACCCGCGGCCUAUCAGCUUGUUGGUGGGGUAGUGGCAUACCAAGGCGCCGACGGGUGGCCGGCCUGCGAGGGUGCCCGGGCACACUGGGACUGCGGCACGGACCAGACGCCUACGGGAGGCAGCAGUGGGGAAUAUUGCGCAACGGGGGCAAGCCUGACACAGAGACGCCGCGUGCGGAAUAACGGCCUUCGGGUUAUAAACCUCUUUCAGCAGGGACGAAGCGAAAGUGACGGUACCUGCAGAAGAAGCACCGGCCAACUACGUG
rnacentral:rRNA from 1 species